GACGAACGCUGGCGGCGUGCCUAAUACAUGCAAGUAGAACGCUGAAGAGAGGAGCUUGCUCUUCUUGCAUGAGUUGCGAACGGGUGAGUAACGCGUAGGUAACCUGCCUUGUAGCGGGGGAUAACUAUUGGAAACGAUAGCUAAUACCGCAUAACAAUGGAUGACACAUGUCAUUUAUUUGAAAGGGGCAAUUGCUCCACUACAAGAUGGACCUGCGUUGUAUUAGCUAGUAGGUGAGGUAAUGGCUCACCUAGGCGACGAUACAUAGCCGACCUGAGAGGGUGAUCGGCCACACUGGGACUGAGACACGGCCCAGACUCCUACGGGAGGCAGCAGUAGGGAAUCUUCGGCAAUGGGGGCAACCCUGACCGAGCAACGCCGCGUGAGUGAAGAAGGUUUUCGGAUCGUAAAGUUCUGUUGUAAGUCAAGAACGGGUGUGAGAGUGGAAAGUUCACACUGUGACGGUAGCUUACCAGAAAGGGACGGCUAACUACGUG
rnacentral:rRNA from 1 species